AGCUCCAGCAGGUCCUUACCUUCCCUCUAUUUGAGUACAGAGGGACAGGAAGAAAAAAAUGUAGGAAAUCGUCUCCACCUGCACUUCAUCCAGGCAGAUGCUGAUAUUUUGCAAACCCACUGACGUGAAGACUCCUUGUGAUAGAAAACCAGCGUAAGCUGAUACGGAGUGUGCCAAGCUGCAGGGAAGACGUGCAGCCCAGCAAGCUGCGCUGGGUGGGAGUCGGGAUAAACCUUUCCUUUGGGGCAACAUCGAACGUAACACCCAGGAUUGUCCUCUGCAUUCAGCCCAGACAUUCAGAAACAUUUGCUCCUUUCCUACGGAGCCCCAGGAGUCUGCUGGAUUCCAGCCAGGAAACCUGGUAUCCCACCGUGAACAAUGAGAUUUUAUGGGGCAACUCUGUGCAAAAAAAGCGAACGGGCAUUUUAUCACCAGACUCUUCACAUUUAGCAUUUCCCCGCAGUACUUACAGGCAACUGUCGGGGGACAUUCUAUAGUUAUA